ensembl:snoRNA
CCUCUCUCAGCUCCGCUCGAUCACACAGUCUCAGUGUGUGUUUGGCGUAUUUUAAGGGAGAGAGAGGAAGGCCCUCCUAAUGCACGGCAGACCUGCCCUAAAGUGGCCUCUCUGUUCCUAGGAGUGCAACAGCU